UCCCUAGGUAGCGUUGGUGAGGAAUGACAGCGCGCCUAGGCUGUUAACCGAAGGGUUGUUGGUUCGAGCCCAACUCGGGGAG
rnacentral:tRNA from 1 species